rnacentral:rRNA from 1 species
UACGUAGGGCGCGAGCGUUAUCCGGAAUUAUUGGGCGUAAAGAGCUCGUAGGCGGUCUGUCGCGUCGGAUGUGAAAGCCCGGGGCUUAACCCCGGGUCUGCAUUCGAUACGGGCAGACUAGAGUGUGGUAGGGGAGAUCGGAAUUCCUGGUGUAGCGGUGAAAUGCGCAGAUAUCAGGAGGAACACCGGUGGCGAAGGCGGAUCUCUGGGCCAUUACUGACGCUGAGGAGCGAAAGCGUGGGGAGCGAACAGG